AUUAUCAACUUUCGAUGGUAGGAUAGAGGCCUACCAUGGUGGUAACGGGUAACGGGGUGUUAGGGCACGACACCGGAGAGGGAGCUGAGAAACGGCUACCACAUCCAAGGAUGGCAGCAGGCGCGCAAAUUACCCAAUCCCGACACGGGGAGGUAGUGACAAUAAAUAACAAUACGGGGUUCUUUCGGAUUUCGUAAUUGGAAUGAGUACAAUUUAAAUCUCUUAACGAGGAACAAUUGGAGGGCAAGUCUGGUGCCAGCAGCCGCGGUAAUUCCAGCUCCAAUAGCGUAUACUAAAGUUGCUGCAGUUAAAAAGCUCGUAGUUGAAUUUCGGGACUAAUAUGUCGGUCGUGCCUCGGUACGUACUGGCUUAUUGGUUUCUCCUUUCUGAAGAACCAUGAUGUCAUUUAUUUGGUGUCGUGGGGAAUCAGGACUGUUACUUUGAAAAAAUUAGGGUGUUUAAAGCAGGCUCACGCUUGAAUACAUUAGCAUGGAAUAAUGAAAUAGGACGUUUGAUUCUAUUUUGUUGGUUUCUAGGAUCGACGUAAUGAUUAAUAGGGAUAGUUGGGGGCAUUAGUAUUCAAUUGUCAGAGGUGAAAUUCUUGGAUUUAUUGAAGACUAACUACUGCGAAAGCAUUUGCCAAGGAUGUUUUCAUUAAUCAAGAACGAAAGUUAGGGGAUCGAAGACGAUCAGAUACCGUCGUAGUCUUAACCAUAAACUAUGCCGACUAGGGAUCGGAUGAUGUUAAUUUUUUAAUGACUCAUUCGGCGCCUUACGGGAAACCAAAGUGUUUGGGUUC
rnacentral:rRNA from 1 species